rnacentral:rRNA from 1 species
GAGUGGCGGACGGGUGAGUAGUUUCUGGGAAACUGCCUGAUGAAGGGGGAUAACUACUGGAAACGGUAGCUGAUACCGCAUAACGUCGCCAGACCAAAGAGGGGGACCUUCGUGCCUCUUGCCCUCAUAUGUCCCCAGAUGGGAUUGUCUAGUAUGUGGGGUAACGGCUCACCUAGGCCACUAGCCCUAUGUGGUCUGAGAGGAUGACCACCCACUCUGAAACUGACACACGGCCCACACACCUACGGGAGGCAGCAGAGGGGAAUAUUGCACACUGGGCGCAAGCCUGAUGCACUCGUGCCGCGUGUAUGAAAAAGGCCUUCGGGUUGUAAAGUAUUUUCCGCGGGGAAGAAGGUGUUGAGGUUAAUAACCUCAGCUAUUGACUUUACCCGCAAAAGAAGCCCCGGCUAACUCCGUGCCAGCGCCCGCGGUAAUACAGAGGGUGCAAGCGUAAUGGGGAAUUACUGGUUGUAAAGCGCACGCAGGCGAUCUGUCAAGUCGGAUGUGAACAUCCCGGCCUCAACCUGGGAACUACAUUCGAAACUGGCAGGCUAGAGUCUUUGAGAGGGGGGUAGAAUUCCAGGUGUAGCGGUGAAAUGCGUAGAGCUCUGGAGGAAUACCGGUGGAAGAGGCGGCCCCCUGGACAAAGACUGACGCUCAGGUGCGAAAGCUUGGGGAGCAAACAGGAUUAGAUACCCAUGUAGUCCACGCCGUAAACGAUGUCGACUUGGAGGUUGUGCCCUUGAGGCCUGGCUUCCGGAGCUGACGCGUUAAGUCGACCAUCUGGGGAGUACGGCCGCAAGGUUAAGACUCAAAUGAAUUGACGGGGGCCCGCACACGCGGUGGAGCAUGUGGUAUAAU